GUUGUGGCUCAGUGGUGGAGCACUUGUCUAGCAUGUGCAAGGCCCUGGGUUCAAUCCUCAGCACCACA
rnacentral:tRNA from 1 species